AGAGUUUGACCCUGGCUCAGGAUGAACGCUAGCGAAAUGCCUAACACAUGCAAGUCGAACGGACCUUGCCUUGUGCUUGCACAAAGUAAGGUUAGUGGCAAACGAGCGAGUAACGCGUGCUUAACCUGCCCCGAAGAUGGGAAUAACUGCAGAGAUGUAGCUAAUUCCCAAUAUGCUCACGAUGGUGAAAUUCCGAUGUGAGGAAAGAUUUAUCGCUUCGGGAGGGGGGUGCGUCCUAUCAGGUAGUUGGUAAGGUAAUGGCUUACCAAGCCUAUGACGGGUAACCGGUCUGAGAUGAUGUCCGGUCGCGAUGGGACUGAGAUACGGCCCAGACUCCUACGGGAGGCAGCAGUGGGGAAUCUUGCACAAUGGACGAAAGUCUGAUGCAGCAAUUUCGCGUGAAGGAUGAAGCAUUACGGUGUGUAAACUUCUUUUUUGGAGGAAGACGAAUGACGGUACUUCAAGAAUAAGAGACGGCUAACUACGUGCCAGCAGCCGCGGUAAUACGUAGGUCUCAAGCGUUAUCCGGAUUUACUGGGCGUAAAGUGUCCGUAGUCUGAUCUGUAAGUCUGUUUUCAAAUCCUACGACUCAAUCGUAGAAAGGGAAUGGAUACUGCAGAUCUAGAAGUAUCUAGGGGUUAGUGGAAUUUCCGGUGGAGCGGUGAAAUGCGUUGAUAUCGGAAGGAACGCCGAAAGCGAAAGCAGCUAACUAUAGAAUACUUGACGAUGAGGGACGACAGUUUGGGGAGCAAACAGGAUUAGAUACCCUGGUAGUCCAAACCGUAAAUUAUGCUUGCUAGAUGUUUUUAUCAGUUUACUGGUAGGAGUGUCGUAAUCUAACGAGUUAAGCAAGCCGCCUGGGUAGUAUAUUCGCAAGAAUGAAACUCAAAGGGAUAGGCGGGGGAACACAC
rnacentral:rRNA from 1 species